rnacentral:lncRNA from 1 species
UAGGUAUGAUAGAUUUUCUCUUUGGGUUGUUCGGAGAUGUUCAUCAAUUAUGUUAUUAUAUAGAGAUACGAGGACAUAGUGAUAUGUGUGAGCAAAAACGAGGAAAUAUGAAAUCUCCAAAAUUUUUGACACUUGUAAGAAAAUGCAAAGUGUUUUUUACUAGUGCUGACUUUUUUGGAACUAUGUACCUAAUUUUUGUAAAUAAAGGUGA